GGGCCCGCACAAGCGGUGGAGCAUGUGGUUUAAUUCGAUGCAACGCGAAGAACCUUACCUGGGCUUGACAUGUACUGGAAGAGUGGCAGAGAUGUCCUCGCUCGCAAGAGUCGGUACACAGGUGCUGCAUGGCUGUCGUCAGCUCGUGUCGUGAGAUGUUGGGUUAAGUCCCGCAACGAGCGCAACCCUUACCUUUAGUUGCCAGCAUUUAGUUGGGCACUCUAAAGGGACUGCCUGCGUUAAGCAGGAGGAAGGUGGGGAUGACGUCAAGUCCUCAUGGCCCUUAUGUCCAGGGCUACACACGUGCUACAAUGGUGGUCACAAAGAGAAGCAAAGCCGCGAGGUAGAGCCAAUCUCCUAAAAGCCAUCUAAGUUCAGAUUGAUCUCUGCAACUCGAGAUCAUGAAGUUGGAAUCGCUAGUAAUCGCGGAUCAGAAUGCCGCGGUGAAUACGUUCCCGGGCCUU
rnacentral:rRNA from 1 species